rnacentral:rRNA from 1 species
AUUGAACGCUAGCGGCAUGCCUUACACAUGCAAGUCGAACGGAGUGGCGAACGGGUGAGUGAGGUAUAGGAACGUGCCCAGUCGCGGGGGCUAACUACGCGAAAGGGUAGCGGAUACCGCAUACUAUUGGCGCGGCCGAUAGGGGGUUAGCUAGUUGGUGGGGUAAGGGCUCACAAAGGCGACGAUCCAUAGCUGGUUUGAGAGGACGACCAGCCACACUGGGACUGAGACACGGCCCAGACUCCUACGGGAGGCAGCAGUGGGGAAUUUUGGACAAUGGGGGAAACCCUGAUCCAGCAAUCCCGCGUGGGUGAUGAAGGCCUUCGGGUUGUAAAGCACUUUUAGCAGGAAAGCGGUACCUGAAGAAUAAGCACCGGCUAACUACGUGCCAGCAGCCGCGGUAAUAC